AGGUUCAGUGUGUCAGAUUUCACGAGAUGUUAAUGGCGUCUAGCGGUGAGGAUUACAGAUUACAACCACUUGAAACUUUAUUCAGUGUUCAUCGAUAUAUAUAUAUCACUUUAUUAUUGUCCAGUUUGGGACGUCAGACUGUUCCUGCAGACAAAACAUUAUGGAACAUGGAAAAUUCAUGCAGAGUUUCUAAAUGAACAAAUCACAGACUUUUAGAGAUGUUGUAUUAUUUGAAAUUUAGUUUUUGCACAACAGACAUUGAAAUAAACGGAUUUAUACUUUAUGACACACUUGUAAUUAAUAAGAUUAACCCAAUGUCCUCAUUUGAGGACAUCUUACUUCCUGUUCAAAAACAGCGUUUAGUUUUUAGACUCAUCAGGUCCGACUGAUCCCAAACAGCUGUGAGACAUUAGACAUGUGUACCAAACUAAAGCUGAAGGUCUCAGGAGGAUUAAAGGUUCAUUAUUGUUCAUUAUUGUUUUUAAAUAUCUGUUUUGGUUUUCAUAAACUCCUGAGUAAUAAAAAGAAAAAAAAAGUGGCUCUUAUUCAGUGAUGUCAUAAAAAUAUUGAUUUACACAGCUGUAAUAUUUGGCUUUAAAAUCACCCUGAUGUUUCUGUUUCUUAUCUCAGUUACUGUGUUGAUGUUGCAUGUAUGCAUCUGUUGAAAUCUACAGAGCCCCUUUAAGGUCAAGUCAGGAGAUUUUUUUUGGACUGACUUUUGCGUCCCCUCGCAAUACUUUCUGCGUUACCUUGCAAUAAAUUUGGCGUUCCCUGUUCCCAGGAGCUUACUUAAUUAGGUUCCCGAACCUAAUUAAGUAAGCUACUUACAACGGCAUGAAAGACAAUAAUAACAACACUACAGUUUAAAAAGAGAUCUCACCAGAUUUAUACAAGUUUAUGUUGGUCACUGAUCAAUGCGGGCAUCUAAGAGGAAGUGACAGUGGUGGCUCAUGGGAAUCCAAAACGUUAUUGCAAGGGAAUGCAAAACUAUUGCGAGGGGGCACAAAAGUUAUUGCGAGGUAACGCAAUGUAUUGCGAGGUGACACAAAAGUAUUGCGAGGUAACGCAAUGUAUUACGAGGUAACGCAAAAGUAUUGCAGGGUAACGCAAAAGUAUUGCGAGGUAACGCAAAAGUAUUGCGAGGUAACGCAAAAGUUAGUCAAAAAAAAAAAAAAUCUCCCAACUUGAACUUUAAGGGGCUCCAUAGAAAUCUACAGUAAAAUAAAAUCACAUUUGUUUUUGAA